rnacentral:rRNA from 1 species
UGGGGAAUAUUGGACAAUGGGGGCAACCCUGAUCCAGCCAUGCCGCGUGAGUGAUGAAGGCCCUAGGGUUGUAAAGCUCUUUUGUGCGGGAAGAUAAUGACGGUACCGCAAGAAUAAGCCCCGGCUAACUUCGUGCCAGCAGCCGCGGUAAUACGAAGGGGACUAGCGUUGUUCGGAAUCACUGGGCGUAAAGCGCACGUAGGCGGAUAUGUCAGUCAGGGGUGAAAUCCCGGGGCUCAACCUCGGAACUGCCUUUGAUACAGCAUAUCUUGAGUCCGAUAGAGGUGGGUGGAAUUCCUAGUGUAGAGGUGAAAUUCGUAGAUAUUAGGAAGAACACCGGUGGCGAAGGCGGCCCACUGGAUCGGUACUGACGCUGAGGUGCGAAAGCGUGGGGAGCAAAC